ensembl:lncRNA
CUCGGCUCGGCUCGGCUCGGCUCGGCUCGGCUCGGCUCGGCUCGGCUCGGCUCGGCUCGGCUCGGCUCGGCUUCCCGGGUCUGCUGGCGCGGCGCUGGGAGGCACUGCGGCCGUCUGUGAGGGAGGGCAGCGGUGAGGCAGCUGGGUUUAUGGCCCAGGUUUCCAGGAGAGAUGGUCAUAGCUGUGUGUGUGUGUGUGUGUCGACCAAGGGAAGAGCCUUACAUAUGGUUCUUGUAUAUCGGCGUGCAAGCCCGGAAAGUACUAGGAACAACUUACUUAACGUGUAGCUGGAGAUGAAGUGGGUACUCUGAGCCUGGCGGCAGACUGGAUGUAGCCUUUGUCAGAAUAGCAGUAUUUCAGUCUGAAAGCACAGCAUUUCUGUGACCAGCUGCUUGUGUUUCUGCUGCAUUGGCCCACAGCGAUUCAGACAACACAGAGCAACACAGAAGUGUACUGCAGUUCAUCAUUUAAGGUAGAGAAACUUACUCAUUAUGAGAACAGAUGUGCCUUCUUUCUCCUACGUGUGUGCUGCUGCAGCUGAGCACCUCAGUGCCAAGUACAAAUCUGAGCCAAGGUUUGGUGGCUGAAGUGAAGCCAGUAGGAUGUGCUUACGUGCUGCUGAUCCCAGCAGCUUCCUGCAGUGGGUGCAGCUGUAUUUAGACACAGUGUGGAGCUGGGUGCUCUACGUGGAGUUAUUUCUCGGUUCUUUUCAUGAGAAUGUCGCACACAAAGUUUAAAACCUCAACAUCAGUUUGAAAUCCAAAACACUGAAAAAACGGCACUGUAAAACCUGUGAUGUUUAGCUCUUGAGGGCAGCCUUAGAUUGUUUUCUCGAUGCAUAUGAUGCUUGGUUUGAUGCCUAUGUAUCUUUGCUUGGAUGUAAGGGAAAGUCUUUUACAGUGGGGGUGGUGAGGCCUUGGAACAGGUUGCCCAGAGAUGUGGUUGGUGCCUCCGUCUCUUUGUCAUCCGUGAAAUGUUGAGUCAUAGAAUGGCCUGGGUCAAAAAGGACCACAGUGAUGAUCCAGUUCCAACCCCUGCUGUGUGCAGGAUCGCCAACCACCAGACCAGGCUGCCCAGAGCCACAUCCAGCCUGGCCUUGAGUGUCUCCAGCGAUGGGGCAUCCACAACCUCCUUGGGCAACCUGUUUGGUGUGUCACCACCCUCUGGGUGAAAAUUGAUUGAUUGGAGAUUGUGAUUCGGUACCUGGCUGUCAGUGCAGCGUUGCAAACUAAUGUUUAAAUUUAUAGACUGCAUCAAAAAUAGGAGCUGAAUGCAGUGUGUGUGCAGCAGGAGCCUACAGAGGAAGCUGGGCCAGUGAGAAUGCAGAGCAGUCUGGUGACGAUGGCAGCCCUGGACAGCAGCACAGCAAAUGGUAUGUUUUGAAUCUAGUUAACUUCCUAGUGAAAUGCCAGGCAGUAAUCAUCAAGCAGACCUGCUAAUUUCAACAGAGCAGUUAGCAUUUAAUUGAGGUAUGCAAAGAACUGGAACCUGUAGAAACUUCUGUGAGUACUGAGACCCUCUGAAAACUCGUGGCUUCCUCUUCUUUGUGUCAUGCAUCUGAGAUGGUUGUUUUGAGUAAUGGCUUCUCUUUCUGAUGCCUGAUGUAAGUAGCUGUGUUGUAGUUUUGAUCAAGUCUGCCAAAGACCCCGGGCCUCCAACACAGUAAGAAAGGUAGGCAGUUUGAAAUCCUUCUCGACAGUAUAUAGCUAAACAUACAAGGUAAAGUCAGGAUGAAAUUUUGAUUGUAACUGUGUUUUAAAUGAUGCUGGUAGUGCUGCCUGGAAUUAAGCUUGCCUCACGUUUCCCAUGAUAAGACCCUUUUUUCAGUGGCAUCUAACUUUGUCAGGUUUCAGUUGUUUGGGCUGAAACUUUUCAUGCUGAAUGUCUGCUUCAGAUGAAUUGGUUUGGAAAGCUUAAACAAAGAAAUGGUUUCACCAUUUCUGGGAAUGAAAUUAAGAGAAAAAUAUUUUCUUUUGCCAUGCCAACUUAAUUCUGGCGUUUCCCGGUGUAUGGCAACUGUUGAAUCGUGGCCUGAACCUCAGAUUGACCACCUGAGGCGAGCACUGAGUCAGCCGCAGAGGACACAGUUGAACACAGUUUCACCUGAGUGACCGGAAGACCCCAUGUAAGGGCUGACUCUUGGAGCCCUUUGGUGAGCCCACGACCAGGGACAUCUGGAAAUGUUGCUGGAGCCUUUGAAGCCCUAGUCUAUAUGUGUUCAUGCUGGAGGAACUGAAGCUGAAGCGGGGGAAGGAAGUAAUUUUUAACUCCUCCCUAAAUGCCAGUCACUGCCAGGGAGAAGUCAAUCUGGUAUAUGGCAUCUAAGAGAAAAUACAUGGAUACCUGUUACGAAACAGAGAUGCUGUCUCGCAGCUGCUGAGGCCUUUGUAGUGGCUCACAAAGAAAGGCCAAAAACGGGACUGGAGAAGAACAGAAGAAGAGGCAUUCCAGGAAGCCAACUUAGCUGCUAAACAGGCCCAGGCACUGGGCAUCAUGUGUCAGCCACACGGGUACGGUGUUGAAGUGGAAAAAAGCCUGCAGACCCUGGGAAAACCAUUGGGGGAGAGAGGAGAAGUGCCCUUUGAAGCAUUUGAUGCCCUGCUGGCAUCCAACACCAGCAUGGUCCUUUUCUCUCCUUUUCAGCCUUUUGCCAUCUCUCAGUGGUUGAUGAUGACAUUGGCGCUCCUUACCCAAAUGACUGGGUGAAUAUUGCUUUUGUGCCUCAGGGGAAACCCAGAGGUGCAGGUGGAGUUGAAUGGGAUCCAGCUUCCCAGCUGAGCUCCAUGCCAGAAGCCCCAGCAACUCCUAUGGGCCCUGAGAGACGGAAAGAGGCACUGGGAAAAGGAAAAUAUCCGCAGAGGCUGUCCCAUAUCCUAAAGAAAAUCAUGAAGGAGAAGGCAGCACAUGUGCUGUCAGAGCCCCGGGAAGCCCAACACAACAGGAUCUAUGAUCCUUUUCUGAAGAAUCCAGGUGUGGAUGGUGAAGGACGUGCAAAAGCCGAGCAAAUUAAAGCUACACAGAAGUACUACCUGGAACUUGCUGCAGCUGUCCCGGUUUCCCUAUUGCUAGGGAUGAUUCUGUGCUGUCUACUUAUCUGGCGAUGGAGGCAGAGAAACCAGCGCCUCGCUGCAGCUGAUGAAGCCCGGGAUGAUAGCAGCAGCUCCAGUUCAGAGUCAGAUGAACAGCCUGCCCACCUCGAGGGGCCCAAAAGACAGACAUGGUGGCAACCACCUGUGUGGGGACGACCUGCCCACCUGCUGCAGGACACCACCAGAGCAGCCCCUGCCAGGCUGGACAGCAGCCAGGCUCAGCUGCCCCCCACCUCGGCCCCCGCGGCCCACCGGCCUGGGCUCCACAUCCCGGGGGAUGCGCAACAGGCCCAGCAGCCCCCAGACCCACCGGGCAUCAGCACAGCCCCCCCCGUCCCCCUCCACCAUCCUUCAGGGGACGGAAGGAACCUGCCCGGGGUAGAGGCUCGCAGUCAUUGGCCAGCACUGAAACAACGGCUCCCCAGCAGAUGAGCGACAGGCCCAGCAGCCCCCGGCCCCCCCGGGCAUCAACACCACCCCCCCGUCCCCCUCCACCAUCCUUCAGGGGACGGAAGGAACCUGCCCGGGGUGGAGGCUUGCGGUCAUCGGCCGGCACUGAAAUAACGGCUCCCCGGCAGAUGAGCAACAGGCCCAGCAGCCCCCGGCCACCAACGCCGCCCCCCCGACCUCUGCCUCCUCCUCCUCCACCAUCCUUCAGGGGACGGGAGCGGUCCCCUCAGGGUGUCGGCUCGGGGGCAUCGUCCAGCACCCAGACAACCGCUGCCUCAGGGAAGCCUGAGAGGCCCAGCAGCCCUCAGCCCCUCCCAGCACCACCUCUGCCUUCCCCCUCCCCUCCACCAUCCAUCAGGGGAGGGAAGCAAUCCCCGCAGAGUGCAGACUUGGGGAAAAUGUCCAACAGACGGACAACCACUGCCUGGGGGAAGC